CCUACGGGGGGCUGCAGUGGGGAAUAUUGGACAAUGGGGGCAACCCUGAUCCAGCCAUGCCGCGUGUGUGAAGAAGGCCCUCGGGUUGUAAAGCACUUUCAGUGAGGAAGAACGCCUGGUGGUUAAUACCCAUCAGGAAAGACAUCACUCACAGAAGAAGCACCGGCUAACUCCGUGCCAGCAGCCGCGGUAAUACGGAGGGUGCGAGCGUUAAUCGGAAUUACUGGGCGUAAAGCGCGCGUAGGUGGCUUGAUAAGCCGGUUGUGAAAGCCCCGGGCUCAACCUGGGAACGGCAUCCGGAACUGUCAAGCUAGAGUGCAGGAGAGGAAGGUAGAAUUCCCGGUGUAGCGGUGAAAUGCGUAGAGAUCGGGAGGAAUACCAGUGGCGAAGGCGGCCUUCUGGACUGACACUGACACUGAGGUGCGAAAGCGUGGGUAGCAAACAGGAUUAGAACCCCGGUAGUC
rnacentral:rRNA from 1 species